rnacentral:rRNA from 1 species
UACAGAGGUCUCAAGCGUUGUUCGGAUUCAUUGGGCGUAAAGGGUGCGUAGGCGGCGCGGUAAGUCGGGUGUGAAAUCUCGGAGCUUAACUCCGAAACUGCAUUCGAUACUGCCUUGCUCGAGUACUGGAGAGGAGACUGGAAUUUACGGUGUAGCAGUGAAAUGCGUAGAUAUCGUAAGGAAGACCAGUGGCGAAGGCGAGUCUCUGGACAGUUACUGACACUGAGGCACGAAGGCCAGGGGAGCAAACGGG